rnacentral:tRNA from 1 species
UCCCUGGUGGCUCAGACAGUAAAGCAUCUGCCUGCAAUGCUGGAGACCUGGGUUCAAUCCCUGGGUUGGGAA